rnacentral:lncRNA from 1 species
GGGGCGAUGAGGCCAGCCUGGGAGUGGUGGUGGAGAGCCCCCCCUGAGCAGGACAGCAGCACAGAGGGCAGGAAGCCAAGCCAAGAGGCUGGGAGGGAUGAUCCCUGCUGAUGGCGUCGAGCACCCAGGCUGACAGCUGGAUGAGAAUGGAGACCCCUGCCUGCUUCUCCUGCUGCACUGUGCCCGGUGUCCAGAGCCGGCCCACCAGCCACAGGGCCUCAGUGAUGUGCACUGGGCCAGUGAACACUGCAGACCACACAGGAGCAUACUUCCAGGAGUGCUAAGCGCCGUCAGUUCCUUCACUGUCCAUGGAGCCCAGCUCUGUGCCCGGCCCUGACUUACACUGUAGGCAUGACAGCCGUGAAGGAGACAAACUCUGCCGCCCCCUGGAGCCGACGUCACAGAGGGGCAAACAGUGAGCAGAGCACAGCAGCUGGGCCGUGCUCUUCCAGUGGGAUCUAUGCCUGAUUCACCUCGGGUAGCGCGAUGGAGUCUGGCCAGGUGCCCGGCAUGUGGGCU